AGCGGCGGAUGGGUGAGUAACACGUGGGGAACCUGCCCCUAAGUCUGGGAUACCAUUUGGAAACAGGUGCUAAUACCGGAUAAUAAAGCAGAUCGCAUGAUCAGCUUUUGAAAGGCGGCGUAAGCUGUCGCUAAGGGAUGGCCCCGCGGUGCAUUAGCUAGUUGGUAAGGUAACGGCUUACCAAGGCGACGAUGCAUAGCCGAGUUGAGAGACUGAUCGGCCACAUUGGGACUGAGACACGGCCCAAACUCCUACGGGAGGCAGCAGUAGGGAAUCUCCCACAAUGGACGCAAGUCUGAUGGAGCAACGCCGCGUGAGUGAAGAAGGUUUUCGGAUCGUAAAGCUCUGUUGUUGGUGAAGAAGGAUAGAGGUAGUAACUGGCCUUUAUUUGACGGUAAUCAACCAGAAAGUCACGGCUAACUACGUGCCAGCAGCCGCGGUAAUACGUAGGUGGCAAGCGUUGUCCGGAUUUAUUGGGCGUAAAGCGAGCGCAGGCGGAAAAAUAAGUCUAAUGUGAAAGCCCUCGGCUUAACCGAGGAACUGCAUCGGAAACUGUUUUUCUUGAGUGCAGAAGAGGAGAGUGGAACUCCAUGUGUAGCGGUGGAAUGCGUAGAUAUAUGGAGGAACACCAGUGGCGAAAGGCGGCUCUCUGUCUGCAACUGACGCUGAGGCUCGAAAGCAUGGGUAGCGAACAGGAUUAGAUACCCUGGUAGUCCAUGCCGUAAACGAUGAGUGCUAAGUGU
rnacentral:rRNA from 1 species